AACUAAUCUUUUAUUCUAAGCACCACGAAUGCAUCAGUCAGCUUUGAUCUCUACUUCAGAUUAAGACUGAUUUAUGGUAUGUUCUGAAUUCAUGGUGAACAACAAUAUGUGUUUAUCAUUUGGAAUUUCCUAGAAGAUACAUUGUUUUAACAAAAAUCUUUAUCUUCCUUUUAUUCAUUGGUUUUAUUUUCUCUUCGUCACUGUUGAUCUACUGUCACCACUUCAACUUAUGUCGUCAGUUCAGACAUCAACAGCAGGAUCUGACUGAUCUUGCUAAAUAAUACUUCUGGCAGUUUCUUUUAUCUUUGAAAGGUUGCAGAUUGCUUGAAGCUUCACCAAGACAACGCUCCACACUGCACAACCUUUAUUACGACCAUCAGAAGCAUGAAAAGUUACCAGUUUCAAAGAGCUUUCCACCAUCUUCUUCUUCUAUGGGGCGGCCUACUGCAUGCACUUAAGCCUCAAGAGCCUUUUGCGCACACCGGAAGCACCACCAUCUUAGCAUCUCUGAGGUUUUUGACACCAUGGAAAAAUUGUAUUGGUAACAGUAUAUUGACACCCAAGGAGGCUAUUUUGAAGAUUUAACAAUAUGCACCAUUCAGAUUAAUAAAUCCUUUUUACCAAACCCA